UGUGACUCAGUGGUAGAGUGCUUGCCUGGCAUGUGUGAGGCCCUGAGUUCAAUCCUCAGCA
rnacentral:tRNA from 1 species